GCCUUCGUGGUGUAGUGGUCAGCACGCUUGACACCUAUUCGAGAGGUCCGUGGUUCAAGUCCCGGCGAGGGCC
rnacentral:tRNA from 1 species